rnacentral:lncRNA from 1 species
ACGGUGUUUUUCGUCAAAACUGUUUAGACGGUGGGAGAGUCGACCGUCGACGGCUGAUUAUCGACCGGAACCGGAAUACCUGGAAGGCUACUUUAAUGGCGGUCGAGCCUUCUUUAUAAUCGACCGUUCAGAUUUCUGCCAAUAUCUUCGUCCGGAGUUUUUUAAGAAGGCCCGCUUUAUCCGGGCGCCAUUGGCUAAUUCUUAUCUGUCGGGACGGUACCGGCGGACGACAGAAGAAUUUCGGAACUUGGCCGGCAGUAGGAUUGGAAGGGCGCGCUUUAUCGCCUUUAAAAACUGCGAAAGUCGAUGACAGGCCGAUGGUUUAAAGGUCGGUCAUUCGAGACUAUACAAAUACUAAAUAAUGCCGGAGGCAGACUUUGAAACAUUUCUAAGGCCAGAUUCGGGUGCCGUCUCGCGCGCCUCUUUCCCCUUCUACCACACUUCGGCUAGGCGGACUAUUUUAGCGCUUCGGUAACGUACCGACGCCACGCUGAUUGGUCGGCGGAGAAAACCGGUCGCUGCCACUUUCUCUCCGAGGGGAGGUGGAUCUCCCUUCCAGCAGUCCGUACAGACCACGUGCCACCGUAGGACGCCAGUCGGACUACCCGUGUCGUUGGUUCCAGGAUAUCGCGGACACACGGUACCGAAAAUGGUGGCCGACGGGUAAUAUCCGUUGCCGGGACCAUGGACGGUUCCGCCUACCAUAAAGACGCUUACACGGAGAUCGAGAAGUAUCUGGAAAGGGCUCAGGUAAGAAAAACUAUUUUCUUUUUUUUUGCCCUAGUUUAUUAUCCUACAUUCCGGACUACAAAAGCCUGGCACCCGGGAAGGCCGGAGUAUCGACUACGAUAUAAAGGAAAGAAUUUCUUCCCAGAAAAUAUGACCGGGUAGAGUCGGCCGAAAAAAAAAAAAGAAAAGAAAGACCGGAUAGAUGGGGGCGAAUAAAGGAAAGAAAUGUUCGGCAGUCUACCCGAAACUGACCUCGGAUAACAUCUGGCUAUCGAUUAACGCGUGUACCGGAAGCUGGAUCCGGGGUCGGACAGCGAAAAAUAAACUGGCUACUGGAAACGGAAGCCGCCUGGGAAUUGGUGGAGGAGACGUAGGCCGGCUUUAAUCGUUGUUGUAGGAAACAACAUAUGAUUUACUUUUCCCGACUUUAUCGGACACGGCGAGGUUACGGCCCACCGAGAAGGAAAGAAAAACUGUGUUGGCCCCGGUAAAAGCUGUGGACGGGACCACCAAUCUGGAGUUUGGCGUAUGUCUCCAAUUUAAACGAGUCGGGAAAAUAGAAAAUAUACGCGACUGGACGAACGAUUAAAGUGGGCGGAAUUGAUAAAUUAAAUUUUUUUCCCUCCGACCCGUGGGGGCUGGACCUUCUAAACGGAAUUAGUUUAUCUCGGCCGAUCGGCGGACCACCUAAGUAGAUUUCUCGGCCGGCCGACUACCGUAACAUUUCCGGGAAUAAGUCCGGCUAGGGUUUUUAAGGGGCGGAGGGGACGGACCGGCCCACCGUCCGUGGCCCGCCGCUUCUCCCGACGUUCCGAGAUGCCAAAAUACCACGGGUAGGACCAGGGAAGAAUAUCCAAAAUACAAUACCGAGAUUCUUAUUUUUAAGCCAGUAAUGGGUGCAAACCGGUCGAAUUCCCAGACCGUUCUAUAGAAAAAAAAUAUUCGAAUCGGUUUUUGUCCUACUUCCCGUUCCCGGAGUAGUUAAUCGCGUACACCUCCUUCCUCACCGUCGGGCCUCGGGUACGGGCCCCAGCCUUUCCGUCGACGGGGAAAGGUCAACUCGUCGCUUUCCGUCGGUCGGUCCGGGCCGAGAUACACUUUUCCACCGUCGGCUACGACUUUAAUCCGCUCGACGGUGACCGCCUGGAAACGCUUCGGCUUUCCACUCCGGAGGACCCGGAUUCCGGUCUCGGGUCCCAGCCCCUUAAAAGUAUUUAUGACGGGGUCCCGGCCGGGCCCUUCGGUCCCCGUCCG